GAUGAACGCUGGCGGCGUGCCUAAUACAUGCAAGUCGAGCGAACGGACGAGAAGCUUGCUUCUCUGAUGUUAGCGGCGGACGGGUGAGUAACACGUGGAUAACCUACCUAUAAGACUGGGAUAACUUCGGGAAACCGGAGCUAAUACCGGAUAAUAUUUUGAACCGCAUGGUUCAAAAGUGAAAGACGGUCUUGCUGUCACUUAUAGAUGGAUCCGCGCUGCAUUAGCUAGUUGGUAAGGUAACGGCUUACCAAGGCAACGAUGCAUAGCCGACCUGAGAGGGUGAUCGGCCACACUGGAACUGAGACACGGUCCAGACUCCUACGGGAGGCAGCAGUAGGGAAAUCUUCCGCAAUGGGCGAAAGCCUGACGGAGCAACGCCGCGUGAGUGAUGAAGGUCUUCGGAUCGUAAAACUCUGUUAUUAGGGAAGAACAUAUGUGUAAGUAACUGUGCACAUCUUGACGGUACCUAAUCAGAAAGCCACGGCUAACUACGUGCCAGCAGCCGCGGUAAUACGUAGGUGGCAAGCGUUAUCCGGAAUUAUUGGGCGUAAAGCGCGCGUAGGCGGUUUUUUAAGUCUGAUGUGAAAGCCCACGGCCCAACCGUGGAGGGUCAUUGGAAACUGGAAAACUUGAGUGCAGAAGAGGAAAGUGGAAUUCCAUGUGUAGCGGUGAAAUGCGCAGAGAUAUGGAGGAACACCAGUGGCGAAGGCGACUUUCUGGUCUGUAACUGACGCUGAUGUGCGAAAGCGUGGGGAUCAAACAGGAUUAGAUACCCUGGUAGUCCACGCCGUAAACGAUGAGUGCUAAGUGUUAGGGGGUUUCCGCCCCUUAGUGCUGCAGCUAACGCAUUAAGCACUCCGCCUGGGGAGUACGACCGCAAGGUUGAAACUCAAAGGAAUUGACGGGGACCCGCACAAGCGGUGGAGCAUGUGGUUUAAUUCGAAGCAACGCGAAGAACCUUACCAAAUCCUGACAUCCUUUGACAACUCUAGAGAUAGAGCCUUCCCCUUCGGGGGACAAAGUGACAGGUGGUGCAUGGUUGUCGUCAGCUCGUGUCGUGAGAUGUUGGGUUAAGUCCCGCAACGAGCGCAACCCUUAAGCUUAGUUGCCAUCAUUAAGUUGGGCACUCUAAGUUGACUGCCGGUGACAAACCGGAGGAAGGUGGGGAUGACGUCAAAUCAUCAUGCCCCUUAUGAUUUGGGCUACACACGUGCUACAAUGGACAAUACAAAGGGCAGCGAAACCGCGAGGUCAAGCAAAUCCCAUAAAGUUGUUCUCAGUUCGGAUUGUAGUCUGCAACUCGACUACAUGAAGCUGGAAUCGCUAGUAAUCGUAGAUCAGCAUGCUACGGUGAAUACGUUCCCGGGUCU
rnacentral:rRNA from 1 species